GCGAUUUUCGAAAGCUUAUUAUUCCAAGGGCAUUCAUGUAAAUGUCUUCAAACUUUGCAUACUUAAUAAUUUUGAGGUGGUCAAAAUUUUGGUUCAUUCCUUUAAUUUGGGCACUUUUUAACACUCGUCCCCAGUCCUCUCAUCAACUUUAGAAUGGCUAAUUUGGAGGUACAGAAUGAGAUUGGGACUCAAUUCUAUACAGGCCUGCAAAUAAUUAUUUUAUACUUGGAAGGACAAAUGUCUGGCCAAGCCAAAAAUUAGUCGGACAUUCACCAAUUUUUCUCGGACAAUGGAUAAACUAUUUUUUUUCUUUGCCUGGUCAUGUUAGUCGGCAGUGCAAUGCAUCUAAAACUGAGUAUAUCGCUACCAGUCCUAAUGCUUCAGUAAAUUAUACUGUAGUUAAGGUUAUACAUAACUUUAAUUUCUACCAUGUUAUAUACGAAUGUCGAUGUAGAUUUAUAAUUAAAUCUUACGGCUUAAUAGUGG